rnacentral:rRNA from 1 species
UGAGGAAUCUUGGGCAAUGGGCGAAAGCCUGACCCAGCGACGCCGCGUGGAGGAAGAAGGCCUUCGGGUCGUAAACUCCUGUUUGGGGAGAAGAACAAGAGAGAAGUUAAUAGCUUCUCUCUCUGACGGUAUCCCCGGAGAAAGCUCCGGCUAAUUACGUGCCAGCAGCCGCGGUAAUACGUAAGGAGCGAGCGUUGUCCGGAUUUACUGGGCGUAAAGGGCUCGUAGGUGGUUUCUUAGGUCUCACGUGAAAUUCCCUGGCUCAACCAGGGAGGGUCGUGGGAAACCGAGAGGCUAGAGGGCAGGAGAGGAGAGUGGAAUUCCCGGUGUAGCGGUGAAAUGCGUAGAGAUCGGGAGGAACACCAGUGGUGAAGACGGCUCUCUGGACUGUCCCUGACACUGAGGAGCGAAAGCCAGGGGAGCAAACC